AAAUCGGCCCUUCUAAGGGCCACCAAUUAAUUUUACUUAAAAGAG
rfam:Glossina morsitans morsitans, isolate Yale, WGS project CCAG01000000 data, contig: ctg10010022